GUAAAGAGGGGGAAGUGUCUUAAAGAGCCAGCGCGUGAGAGCGGUCGCAGGUGGAGCACAUGGGAGUGGGCCACGCGGCCGGCCGGGCCUGCUCGCGCCUUUUAGGUUGGCUGCUCCAGAUUCCGAGAAAGGAGCCAUUAAUGUCACCCUCCACUUACAGGAUGAUGGAGCCACGCCGCACAGCUUACAGGAUCUUGGUUCCCUGACCAGGAAUUGAACCCAGGCCCAUGGCACUGAAAGCACCAAGCCCUAACCACUGGACCACCAGGGAAUUCCCAGGAUCAGACCAGCUUGUGCUGUGCCCGUGGCUUCAACACAUCCUAGGCUUAAAACUCACAGACAAACAGAGAGAGAAAAUCAAACUUAAAAAAUAAAAAUUAUAAAGUGGGUCCAGGGACUUCCCUGGUGGCACAGUGGUUAAGAAUCUGCACUCCCAAUGCAGGGAGCCUGGGUUUGAUCCCUGGUCAGGGAACUAGAUCCCACAUGCAUGCCACAACUAAGGAGCCCAUGUGCUGCAACUAAGGAGUCCGUGUGCCGCAACUAAGAAGCCCUCGAGCCGCAACUAAGGAGCCCACCUGCCGCAACUAAGACCCAGUGCAACCAAACAAAUAAAUAACUAAAUAUUUAAAAAUAAAUAGGGACUUCCCUGUUAGCACAGUGGUUGAGAAUCCGCCUGCCAAUGCAGGGGACACGGGUUCAAUCCCUGGUCCGGGAAGAUCCCACAUGCCAUGGAGCAACUAAGCCCGUGUGCCACAGUUACUGAGCCUGCGCUCUAGAGCCCAUGCACAACAACUACUGAGCUCGCGUGCCACAACUACUGAAGCCCGUGCGCCUAGAGCCCGUGCUCUACAACAAGAGAAGCCACCACAAUGAGAAGCCCACGCACCGCAACGAAGAGUAGCCCCCGUCCUCCACAACUAGAGAAAGCCUGCGUGUAGCAACGAAGACCCAGCACAGCCAAAAAUAAAUAAAUAAGUAAUAAAUUUAAAUUAAAAUAAGAAAAGGAAACGUUUGCUUUAAAAUAAAUCAAUAAAGUGGGUCCAAAUACCUAUUUAUAAU
rnacentral:tRNA from 1 species